UACGGAGGAUCCAAGCGUUAUCCGGAAUCACUGGGCUUAAAGCGUGUGUAGGCGGGUCGUUAAGUACCUUGUGAAAUCCCCCGGCUCAACCGGGGAACUGCUGGGUAUACUGGCGAUCUUGAGCGAUCUAGGGGCAGAUGGAACAAGUGGUGGAGCGGUGAAAUGCGUAGAUAAUCACUUGGAACGCCAAAGGUGAAAACAUCUGCUGGGGAUCUGACUGACGCUGGAGACACGGAAAGCCCAGGGGAGGCGAAACGGGA
rnacentral:rRNA from 1 species